rnacentral:lncRNA from 1 species
AAAGAGAAGGUUUUCCCAUUCCAGCUCUAUCAGAUAAUGCUGAGGGGAACUGCCCUUGAUUCGGAUGUGUCCUGAUGAUUACUAUCUGAGGCAGGUAUCAUGCAGAGAGAGGAUGAACAGCACUUGACCUUUUUUGAAGAAUGACUGAUGCAGACAAUCUCUCAGAGCUGGGCGUGUGUCACCGGGGCUAACACAUCAGUGGACCCCUUAGCUGUGAACUUCGGCAGAUAAGGCAGAUAAGAACAUCUUGUGUUAUCACAGAUGCCUAUCGCCAGAGCAGAUGUCAAACUGUGGAAGGACCACCUUCCCUCCACCCUAAGCUAAAAAAAAAGCCUACUCUGGAGCAAUCAACUACUAUGUAGGAUGCUACAAGAUUCCUCCCUAUUCGGUGUUCAUGAUGUAUGUAAACAUCCCCUGCUUCUCCAAACAAGACUGGGUUAAACAGACCAUUCCACCUUGAGCACACUCACAUAUGGACACAAAGAUCCCUGACCAAUGCCCUCUCUGCGAAUGUGG